GCCAGCAUCGCUGCCUGGGAAGCCUCAGCGGGCCCCCCUCCCUCUCUGAUCCGUGUCUCCGGCCUCUCUCUGACGUAGCGGGAGGCUGAAGGGGGGGGGGAGGGAAGAGGAGGGAUGACUCACAAUGUUAUGAUGCAGUUCCACAACAGACAGCCACAUUCGACUACAGACGGAGCACAAAAGCAGCCCUUUGGCUACCUCGAAGCUGCGCUCCCCUUGACGCGACCCCUCGCCCAGCGGCUGCGGAACGCCAGGACGGCCAGAUCCCCGCGGGAACGGGCGUCAAGGUGAGCAGCGCGCAGAGGGGCCGCACGGACGGCGCCGCGGAAACUUUGCCUGCCUGCCGCCCUCUGCGCUUGGCUCGGCGAAGCCCACCCAUCCUUUGGCCUUCUUCAAGCAACGGUUAGCAUUGCAAAGCCCAGCCGCGUCUCUUUAUGCCAACAUCCCUAGGGGAACUUCGGCGGCAGCAAAUCUGCCUUUGUUUUUCUUUCGCGCACGCAGCCACGUGACUUCCCUUUCAGUCUGGUUCUCAUCUGGGGGGGCCCUGGCAGUGCAGCCCCCCCAAACUUCAUUUUUCUGAAACACGGCUCUAGCCAACCUGCUUCGUUGCUUCACUUGCGACCGCUUGUGUGGAGGCUGCACGGCACCUGCCCCUCCACCUCGACAGGGCAUCGUUCUUCAGCCUGUCAUGCCCAGCUGUGAGCCAGUACCACCGCCUGCCUAUCUCCCUACCAAAACCUUCCGCAGUUACCUGCCUCGGUGCCACCGAACGUACAGCUGUGUCCAUUGCCGGGCACACUUGGCCAAGCAUGAUGAGCUCAUCUCCAAGUCCUUCCAGGGGAGUCAUGGUCGCGCCUAUCUUUUCAAUUCUGUGGUUAAUGUGGGUUGCGGUCCAGCGGAACAACGCCUCUUGCUCACUGGUCUCCAUUCAGUUGCCGAUAUUUUCUGUGAAAGCUGCAAGACUACAUUGGGCUGGAAAUAUGAACAAGCCUUCGAGACCAGCCAGAAAUACAAAGAAGGGAAAUAUAUUAUUGAAAUGUCACACAUGGUGAAGGACAAUGGCUGGGACUGAUGGGGACACUGGGUGACCCCCUCCCUACAGCAUGUUUUGCCCUUUCCUAAUUCCACUGCCAUACCUGGCACCCUGGCACAACUAAUCCUGCCCCCUUUCCAUGCCCUUAGGCUCCUACACAGCAUCACCCAUGGGAGUGGAGAUACCAGGACCCUUCGCCCAAACCUCUUGUUCUUUCUGAAAUGCUGGAUUCACAAUGUGGAGGAUCUUCCCAUAGUAAAAGAGAAAGUUCACAGAGUUAAAGGACCCAAUUUGAGGAUUUUGUAUUGGAUUCUACUUGACCUAUAUGGGGUAUAGCACUCUCAUUUGUAGCACCUGUUGGGUGGGACAGACAGUGGAAUUCCUAAGUGUACUCCUGGAAGCACAUAUGAACUUUAGAAUCCAUUGUAUAUGGAAAAUACAGUGCUUUCUGGAAUGGGGCAGAAAGAGCUGUGUGUAUAGGGCAAAUUCUUGGGGAGGAGUCAUAGCUCAAUGGAAAAGUAUAUGCUUCGCAUGCAGAGAGUUGCAUGCAGAAGGAUCAACCUUUGGCAUCUGAAAGAGGACUAGGACUGACUUCUGCCCAAAACUUUGCAGAACCGCUGUCAGGCAGAGACAACAGUACUGGCCUAGACUGACUUAUGAUUUGACUCAGCGUAAGGCAGCUUCAUAUGUUCGUGCAGUCCUCUCCUCUCUUGGGAAGUGGGGAGUUUUCUGUAGGGGACAACAUAUGUUAGUCAAACAGUGCUGGACAGAAAAGAUUGGAAGGGAAGUAAAUUCCUUCCAAUAGGGACAAACUUUGUUACCCAGGUAAAAGACCCAAGAGCAGUUCCUCCCAGCAUGGGGCCAUGGUAGUUCACAUUCCCCUUCACCAUUCCCUUUCCCAGACACUGCCGUGGUAUAUUUCCCCCCCAUGUUUAUGCAGUGGAGUCUGCGGGUUUUGUUUUUGGGUUGCUGUGUGCUUGUGAUCCCCGGGCACUAUCAUUCCCCGCGCCACGAACCCUACAUGGAAAACGGUGGGGCUGGAUGUGGGCAAAGCCUCAGCACUGUCACCAGCGCAGGAAUUUUUUUGUAUAAUAAAGAUGUUUUAUAUUCAAAAAGAAAAAUGAACCAUACUCAUAGCAGCCUCUAUUAUCCUUGAGUAGUCACAAGAAACAGGAACAGUUUGGUGCAUUUCAACAGCAGGGACUUGUCUCAAAUAAGUACAGAAUACCAAGGUAGUGGAUGAUUUCCUUAACUUAAUACUGUCUACAGAGUUCUUAAACAAACAGCAGUACCAUCUGAAUGAGCAUCUGGAAACCAAAUACAUAAUAAUAUGUCAGCCAACAAGUUAUCUCCCAAUUGCAACUGCAAGGACAGAAAAGGUGUGCACAACUCACAGUCCAGUAACAGUGCAAUCUGAACCAGGUGAGUUCCUCUAACCUUCCUCAUUUCACUGGACUAAGAAGGGGGUAUCUCUUCUUAGGACUGAACUGUGAAUUGACCACACAUCUGACUGUAUGUCAGCAAUUUAUCACGUAUUUGUUGCUUCUAGAAUUAGCAAAAACUUUUUUCAUACAGACUUUACCAUUUAUCAGCAUUCAAUUAAAUCUACUAAAACACAUGACCAAUAAAAAAAAUCAACAAAUGGCACAUGAACUAAGUCCGCAAAUUGAUGUUGGAUAUGUCCAUGUGUGGAAUAGGGUGGAUGAACACUUUUUCAGUUGUUACAGAGACUGCUGUGAAGAAGGCAUUAUAAUUCUACACUAACAUGCAUCCCUUUUACUUUACAUAGCAGGGUCCCAUGACUUCUUCCUCUCCUCUGACUUCUGCCAAUAAAUGGUGACAUGGAGGGUUCAUGUUGCUGUGGCCACCCACCCAAUGCCCUUUUUACAUUGCACUGCUUGGGUUGGGCACUGACAGUAGCACAAUGUGAAAAGAGCCUCGGGCAGGGGUCAUGCCCAGUAUUUCAGGAGGCUCUUUGCUCUCUCCAACUCUCUAUGCUGAAACCAGAUGACUUCCUCUCUGCAUUUAGGAUCACCCAGGCCACUCAUGUUUAUUUAGCUGUAUCAGUGUCAUUUCUUUAGAUAACUGUGUGUGGAAAACUGUCCAGCCUAAUUCAGCUCAUUCACUUUAGUCUUCAUCCAGCAAGAGCAUUUGAGGUUUCUGGAAAGAUUGCUCAGAAUUCCACCUAGAGGGAGAGAGAAAAAAAGAGAGGCAGAAUAACUUCUCAGUACCAAGACCUGCUGUCUGUUAUCAUGUCGAUCAAGUUGUCCUCUGGGGCAGUUUGGGAAGGUUUUCUGCUAAGACUAAUUUGUAUCUCAUGACUAGUGAGAUACAAAUCCCUGUUCUGCUUGCUCAUUUGACUUACAUCAAUCAGCAUGAGCCAGUUCACAGAUGGGGCCAGCAUUCAUUCUACUUCUCCUUCCUUCAGCUACUAAACAGUCAGCUACAUCUAGAAAACUGCGCUCAACAUCAUCUUUCAUCACACGUUUUUGCGAAUGCAUUGGUCUGCAUGCACUUUACCAGUCUAUAUCAAGAUGGGAUGUAACAUCAGCCACUAAUAAGAUUCCUGUGUUCAUAUGGUUUCCCCAUCCCAAAACAAGGUAUUGGAAUGUGACCUGCAUAAACUCCAGGUAAAGAAGUAACCAGGAAUCUUGCUGUUAGAUUCAAAAUGUUCUCAUAUUUUGUAACUAGCUUACUAAUUGACGGAACAGUUCUACUGUACUUGUAAUCUGCCUUGAGUCCCAGUGAGAAAGGCAGACUAUAAAUGAAAAUAAAUAAACCUAGGGCCAGUCUUCCACCAAGCCAAAACUAUAUAAUACCUUUGUCUCAGUAGAUAUCCAAAACCCACCAGCAAAUAUGUAGGUGUAUCAUUUGACAAAAUAGCUACCCUAAAUCACUAGGGAAUUUGGCUGGGGGAGUUCCACAGUAGAGAAGAAGAAAAGGACUCAUUUAACGGCAAGGAUUCUGGCCAGUGGCGUAGCAGGAUGCCCUCAUUUCUCACCAGUGGGUCAUUCACCUACCAGUGAUGCUGAAUCCUAUGACCAAAUAGUAUUUGGGAAAGGACAAGACACUUCUACAGCAAAGGGGGAAAACAGCUGUCUUGGGAAGUCUGAAGUGAAAGGAGAGUAGAAUGAGCGGCAAGAACAAUGUAAUCAAAUCCCUCUUCUCACAUAUAGCAUUUCAUUUCAGGAUCAGGAAUAACCCUUGCUGGUAUCAACCUGUCCACACUUCUCCUCGAAGUCACCUUUGGCCCAAGAAGAUUAACACAGAUCAGACCGAACUAAACAGGACAAGUCAUACAAAGGUCCAAGAAUUGUACUAGAACAGUAUAUAAUACUUUAUCACCAUACAGCUUUCGAACAAUACAUUUUCAAGUAAAAAGGUUGUGGUUUA